rnacentral:misc_RNA from 1 species
GGCGCGCGCGCUCACCCGCCUGCUGCUCGCCGGCUACCUGCGCCUGCGCACGCCGCUCUACUACCGCUACUGCGCGCUACUCGCGGACGAUGACCACGACGUGCGCGAGCCGGCCGAGUACUACGUGUCGUGCUGCCUCACUGUCGACGCCAUCUACCACCACUUCGUCGACUGCGUGCUACAUUACAACAACGAGGACACCGAACCCAUGUCGUUCGAUGCGCGGCAGUUGAUCUACGACGUGAUGCUGCAGCGGCUGUCGUUGGUGCAGAAGCUGAACGUACAGUGUCGCCUGGCGCGGGAGGUGCUGGAGCACGCGGCCAGCCUGUGCGACGAGCAGGACGAGCUGCCCGCCGCGCUGCACGCCGCGCUGCUCGACACCAUCACGCUGCUGUGCGGGCCCCGCAUGAAGCUGCCCA